GAAACAAUUUUACCACAACUGUUAUUCUCUGCCCCAAAACCCUUGCUUGAAUGGUGGGACUUGCACGUCGACUCUCACCGGUUACAGGUGCCACUGUUUGACUUCGUUCCGUGGGCCACGCUCCCAGCAGACUCAGAGAACAUUUCACGGUAACGGCUAUGCAUGGAUUCAUCCUAUCGGCCACUGCUCGGACUGCCAUCUAUCGCUGGAGUUCGUGAGCUACAGCACAGACAGAUUAUUACUACACAGCGGAGCGUCAAGAGACAGUAAGAACUUCAUCGCAGUUGAGAUUACGAGCGGCCGGCUCCUUCUCAUCUUCAGACAAGACCUGACCACGCUGAGGCUCGGCUUUCCAGAGCAGGUGAAUGUUACAGACGGAGAAUGGCAUCGGAUAGACCUGCGCAUAAAAGAUAAAGGAGUCAGCCUGACUCUGGAUCGCUGCCGCACGGCUUUGAUAAAUGAGAGAGGGGAUCGGAGGAAAGCUACUUACAGAGGAUUGAACGACUUGUGAAGUCCACAGAGUCAUC